UGCAAUGAUUUAUAAAAAAUUACAAAUUAUUCAAAAUCGACAAAAAACAGUGGUUUCUCCAAUGAUUUCUAAAAGCUAAAGGAAGUACUGGACUUUGGUAAAUACGGGCAAUAAAUAUUAUUAAAUAAAGAGCAAUAUUUAAACGAGUUACGUCGGUUCUGAAAAGACAACAGGAGGCUUUAGAAUAAUUUUGAACACUAAACAGCUACAAUCCAAAUGGAGACGAAAUAAAACGAUGUUAAGUUCAAAUUUUCAGUGAAGUUCUUUUUUGACUUCAAAUAUGUUGACGAUAAUGUUGACGACGCUGGCAGUAACGGUAAGGAUGACUAUCAGAAAUUAAUACGAAGGUGUUGUCAAUAGGCAAGUUCUCCAAAAUUCUAUACACGAUAUUGACAAACUUCCACGAUGACGGGACCUCCGUUGAAAACCACAAUACAUUGCUGAACCUUAC